AGUGGGGAAUCUUGCGCAAUGGGCGAAAGCCUGACGCAGCAACGCCGCGUGCGGGAUGACGGCCUUCGUGGUUGUAAACCGCUUUCAGCAGGGACGAAAUUGACGGUACCUGCAGAAGAAGCCCCGGCUAACUACGUGCCAGCAGCCGCGGUAAUACGUAGGGGGCAAGCGUUGUCCGGAAUCAUUGGGCGUAAAGAGCUCGUAGGCGGUUCAGUAAGUCGGGUGUGAAAGCUCCGAGCUCAACUCGGAGAGGCCACUCGAUACUGCUGUGACUAGAAUCCAGUAGGGGAGUGUGGAAUUCCUGGUGUAGCGGUGAAAUGCGCAGAUAUCAGGAGGAACACCAGCGGCGAAGGCGGCACUCUGGGCUGGUAUUGACGCUGAGGAGCGAAAGUGUGGGUAGCAAA
rnacentral:rRNA from 1 species